GACGAACGCUGGCGGCGUGCCUAAUACAUGCAAGUCGAGCGAAGUUUUUCUGGUGCUUGCACCGGAAAAACUUAGCGGCGAACGGGUGAGUAACACGUAAAGAACCUGCCUCAUAGACUGGGACAACUAUUGGAAACGAUAGCUAAUACCGGAUAACAGCAUUAACUGCAUGGUUGAUGUUUAAAAGUUGGUUUUGCUAACACUAUGAGAUGGCUUUGCGGUGCAUUAGCUAGUUGGUGGGGUAAAGUCCUACCAAGGCGACGAUGCAUAGCCGACCUGAGAGGGUGAUCGGCCACACUGGGACUGAGACACGGCCCAGACUCCUACGGGAGGCAGCAGUAGGGAAUCUUCCGCAAUGGGCGAAAGCCUGACGGAGCAACGCCGCGUGAGUGAAGAAGGAUUUCGGUUCGUAAAGCUCUGUUGUUAGGGAAGAAUGAUUGUGUAGUAACUAUACACAGUAGAGACGGUACCUAACCAGAAAGCCACGGCUAACUACGUG
rnacentral:rRNA from 1 species